CCAAAGCAUGGAUUGCUGUCUUACCUUGUCCAUAGACCACUUACAGAGUAAGGAAAUAUGUCAUUUUGUAAUUUGGGUGAAUCCUUGUAAGAAGUCUAGUCUGUAUAUGAAGUACAGAACUAUUCAAAAGCAGCCAAUUGAUCAAUGUAGUAGUAAUGUCAAUAUCAGUUUUCUUGUAAAUCCCACAUCCAAAGCCUCUGUCUCUUCCAGCUACCAGAGUUUCAGGGAGGUGCCCAGACUGCUAGACCUGGAUCUGACAGAGGGAGACCAUGACUUUCCUGAUGCAGGAGAAGAAGCCACACAUGCAGGCGGUGAGGGGACAAGAGAGGGACCACACCCAGGGACCAGGAGGGAGGAGGGCCACACAUGUCUAGCUCAGAGAUAGCCAAUGCUAGGUCAGAAGGACGCUACAUUCAUUCCACUGGCAAGACCAAGGACCAGCAAAUCAGUUCUUUGUUCCCCUAAAGACCUCAGCCAAUCCCCUGCAUUUCAUGGCUCGCCUGCCAGUGACAGCAAGAGGUCAGAGGUCAGGAUGUCUCGAGGCAGCAGGCUCACCAGUCUGGGGGAGAGUACUGCGUCAGAGAGGAGGGGCUCCAAACUGCAGCCUGGGACCAGGAGAGUGUAAUCUCAGGAUAGGAUAUUAUUAUUAUUAUCUCAUCCGAGAUGUGGGCUCUGAGAGCGGUCACCUGACUCCUGCAGCACCCAGUCCCUUCCACCAGAUGGCCACAGCGAG